GUCCUAGCCGUAAACGAUGGACACUAAAUGGAGGGGGUUUACCUCUCUCUGUUGCAGCUAACGCGUUAAGUGUCCCGCCUGGGGAGUACGGCCGCAAGGUUAAAACUCAAAGGAAUUGACGGGGGCUCGCACAAGCGGUGGAGCAUGUGGUUCAAUUCGAUGCAACGCGAAGAACCUUACCCGGGCUUGAAGUGGAGGUGGUAGGAACCGGAAACGGUAACGACCCCGAAAGGGGAGCCUUCAUCAGGUGUUGCAUGGCUGUCGU
rnacentral:rRNA from 1 species